UGCUCAGGAAAAGAUACAAAGUGCUAAAAUUGGAAUGAUACAGAGAAGAUAAGCAUGCCCCCCCUUGCACAAGGAUGGUAUACAAAUUCAAAAAGCAUUCAGUAUUAUU